ACGUUCUCACAUCUGGCUCGGUCCAGUCCCGAGUCACACCCAAACAAACAAGGGGUAGUCUUCUUUUUUUUUUUUUUCCAGAAAAUUAAACCUUGCCGUUUCUCCCAUUUCUCUCAGAAACCAUGAUUCCACCUCAAGCUUCCCUCCAUUUUGUUCCUCCAAUCUCAAUUGUGAACCAUCAUUGCCUUCUUGAAUCUUAACUGUAAACCAUUUUCUUUUGUUUAAUUUCUUAUCUGUUAGGGUUCUAAUCAACUGUUCUUCUAUUUCGUCUUGUAACCAAAGAAGAAAUCAAACCCACCCCCUUUUAUUUCAUCAUCUGUAUAUCGAAGAAGAGUCACUGAAGAUUUUAUGGUUAGAAGCUAUUCUUCCACCUGGAAUUAUCGGUGGAUUUGUUUGUGUGUUUUGGGUGAUUCUCAGUAUUACAUUUACAGAAGCAGCUAAUGCCAGACUGGAGCAUAUCGGUAACGGCUAUGUGGGAGAAGGGACAAGAAGCUGGUGGAGAAAUUGUAUGCUGAUUGCUGAGCAGAACUAGACAACGGAAUCUAGGCCCGUUGUUCCUGAUCAAAACCUACUUGCAAGGCCUGUUCUGAUUAGAGAAGAAGCUUGGAAUAUGAUGGGAGGUGGAGUUUUUGAUGUAAGGAAUGACCGGGCCUUCACUGCUCUCCCUGAAGCAGAGGUGAACUUUCUGUCAAAGCUAGUUGCUUUAUGACACGGGGAAACUGUUGAAGAGAUGAUUAGAAAUGUAAUACAAGGAAAAGAUGAAGGUGAAGUCAAAAGUGACGAGAAUGACAAAACCAAUACAGAGAAGAUACCUAGACUUGAAUGGUAACCCUAGACUUUCGUGCUUUGGAAUGAUGAAAAAUAGUAGAGACGGGAAAAGUUAUAGUACAAAUUUGGCUUUUAGGCCUCCAGAGUACUUGCGAACUGGACAUGUGUACGACAACCUCUUUUCUAAUGUAUGGGAAUGAGGCAAUCACUACCUAUGUAACGGGUAAUGCAAUUAAGGGUUGUUCCACAUCUUGCACAAGCUCUAGAAUAUUAUACUAGUAAAGGACGUGUACUUUACCAUGAUCUUACUGCUUACAGAAUUGUAUUUGACGACGUGAGUAUUGCUAUCAGCCGUUAAUUUAACUAGUCUUUCCUACUUUCGGAUUUUAUUUCUGGUUAAUCUGCUCAUCUAGGAUUAGCAUUUUGCAGGAGGGUAACUCUUGAUUUUCAUGCUUUGGUAUGAUGAAAGAUAGUAGAGACGGGAAUAGUUACAGGACAAAUCUGGCUUUUACUCCUCCAGAAUCCUUGAGAACUCUUAUCGUAUUGCUGCAGGUACACUGUUCUGGUGCUGACUGCAAGAAAGAGGUGAUGUUGGGCAUCAAGCAACUCCUUACCCCCCAAAGGGAAGAAAGACCCCUGCGAGUGGAGGCAACAAGUCAAAUCCACAGUGUCAGUUUGGUGCAAUUCUUGUAACAAGUAAACAUAUCUCGCCUUUGUUUUAUGUGGAUUAUUUUAUAGAACCGCAACCACUGGGUAGCACUCCUUAGUCUGUAACUUGAGAUACUUUUUAGCACAAGUCGUGUUGGUACUUUCAUCAAACUUUUUUCUUCCAAAUUUGGAUCUUGAACAACUGUAGUUUGUUAAAGCUGUAAAAUGAAUUUGUUCCUGUGAUAUAUGAUUCUAGCUAAAGGGCAGUAGGCCAACACUACUAUUCUACAUUUGUACUACUACCCUACAUUGGUAGGUAGGAGGAUAUUUGGAUGAAGGGGAUCAUGGGAGGAUAAAGGGCAGUAGGCCACCAUUAGCUUAGCACCUUGUUACAUGAUGGGUAAUAGACAAAGGGACAUGAUGGGAGCACGUGAAUGUCACGUGACGUGAUUACUCCACUGGAGCCACCAGAGUUUUUGCUAGAAACUCUAACCACCUCUCCACGUAUACCCAUAAGCAGACGAAGGUUGGUUCGAUGAGAUCAAUAAUAAUCCAGAAAGCAAGAGAAAUCUAGACAGAGCCAUCAUUAUGAAGACAAAACAAAGAAGAUGCGUUUCCACAUUAGGGUUCCACAAAACAAGCUUGUUGUGUGCUGCGUUUUUUAGAUACAAAAGAAAAAAGAAAUAUGCGAAAUUCAUUAUGGAG